rnacentral:rRNA from 1 species
GUGAGGAAUAUUGCGCAAUGGAGGCAACUCUGACGCAGCCAUGCCGCGUGCAGGAAGAAGGCGCUACGCGUUGUAAACUGCUUUUAACCGGGAAGAAACCCCAGGACGUGUCCUGGGUUGACGGUACCGGAGGAAUAAGCACCGGCUAACUUCGUGCCAGCAGCCGCGGUAAUACGAAGGGUGCAAGCGUUAUCCGGAUUCAUUGGGUUUAAAGGGUGCGUAGGCGGAGCGUUAAGUCAGUGGUGAAAUCCUGCAGCUUAACUGUAGACUUGCCAUUGAUACUGGCGCUCUUGAGUGUGCUUGAAGUGGGCGGAAUGUGCCGUGUAGCGGUGAAAUGCUUAGAUAUGGCACAGAACACCAAUUGCGAAGGCAGCUCACUAAGGCGAUACUGACGCUGAGGCACGAAAGCGUGGGGAUCGAACAGGAUUAGAAACCCCAGUAGUCC